rnacentral:rRNA from 1 species
AACGAACGCUGGCGGCAGGCUUAACACAUGCAAGUCGAACGCCCCGCAAGGGGAGUGGCAGACGGGUGAGUAACACGUGGGAACAUGCCCAAAGGUACGGAAUAUCCUCGGGAAACUAGGAGCAAUACCGUAUGUGACCGUAAGGUGAAAGAUUUAUCGCCUUUGGAUUGGCCCGCGUUGGAUUAGCUAGUUGGUGGGGUAAAAGCCUACCAAGGCGACGAUCCAUAGCUGGUCUGAGGGGACGACCAGCCACACUGGGACUGAGACACGGCCCAGACUCCUACGGGAGGCAGCAGUGGGGAAUCUUGGACAAUGGGCGCAAGCCUGAUCCAGCCAUGCCGCGUGAGUGAUGAAGGCCCUAGGGUUGUAAAACUCUUUCGUGGGGGACGAUAAUGACGGUACCCCAAGAAGAAGCUCCGGCUAACUUCGUGCCAGCAGCCGCCGUAAAAC